UUGCUUAUUCUAAACUGGCCGAAACACUGGCUGAACUAGUGUCCAAAGUGAAAGAACUCCAUCAAGAGAUCCAGGGUUUCAUAAGACGGCAGCUACCAAUCUCUCCCCAUUACCUCUCUCACUCCCUCUAAAAGACUUGACUGAGUUAGAAGAAGCUGAGCGGAUUCUUCAGAGUGAAGAUGCCGGACGUGUGAUGGUUGACCAUUUUGCUAUUGUGGGAGGAGCAUCAGUUGAUGUGCGUAUUAGAAGGAUGCUGGCCUGUACUCUAACCAACGAGCUGGCCUCUCAGAUUAACUGGGCAAGGAAGAAACUGAAAGAUGAGCAUAAACGAAAAACGGCAUUCAGAGACACAAGGCUCAAGAUGUGCAUGUUUGGUAAUUAUCCACUGUAAUGACUCCACAAGCAGAAGGGAAGGAGGACACAGGAAAGCGGAUUUUUCCAGACUCAGGUAAGGCUUUUAAUCGGCCACUUCAAUGCUUUACAGCUUCACAAACUCGGUCUCAGGGGCACGUAGGCACUCAACUCAUUAGCUUCACAUAGGUAAACACAUUAGCUUCAUAAACAUAAACAAAUCAGCCUCCACGAUCAAUGUAGGCUCUCUCGUGUCAGACUCUCUCGCUCUUUUGGCAGUGGCAUGGCUGUUUAUAUGCCGCUCUCCUCAAGCUCACUGGAAUUAGAGACGGGUGUUAGACAUAAUUUAGCUCAGGUGUAAGCGCCCUUACCGCUCUCUCUCUCCGGACGGGCGCUCGACCACGCCCCUGCUGCCACAUCCACCUUUACUUUUUUUUUUUUACAUUUUUUUACUCACAAUCUAUUUGAAUCUAUUCACCUUGCUUUUCCAUUCAGUCCUCCAGUGUGUCUGCAGGUGCUUAAAAGGAAAAUAUCUACAUUAAAAGUCAUUAAAUAAUCUUACAUUUAAAUUCAGCGGGUUUUAACUUCAACAUAAACAUUUUAUCAAAUUUCAAGUUGCACUUUAUUAGUGUGAUAAUUAGUCACAUUUCCAAAUAUUCUGUCAAUUAGACACUACUACCGGUUAAAAGUUUUAGAACAUUGUGCAGUUCUAACUUCCUGUUUGCUGUGACAGUGCAAAAAUGGCUCCGUUAUGCCCCUGAACAGCUUGGGGGCAUUACUCGUGGUGGAAACCCCUGAGUUUAUCGGAGUAAUAUUUAAUGAGGAAUAUAAGGCCAUCCUUUUCACAUCAGAAGCUUCAGUCCUUGAAAAGCUCCUGAAAAGUCCUGAACAGUGGUAAUGUUUCAGUCUGUAGUACUGUGGUGUUUCUAUCUUUGAUGGUGAGUUUCCAUUUGCAUUUACUUCCAUUUUGCAGAUGCAGGCUGCAUUUGUUAUGUUGUCGUGGUUUUCCAGGCUCUUCUGGCAGUUACAUUCUGUUUUAUGAAUUCUGAAAUAACAAUUCCAUCUAAUUGUUUUAAGUCACUGUCAUGCAGUUUAUCAUAAUCUGUACAUAAGUUAUUUUAAGCUCUAUACAUUUUAGAUUCCAUGAAGUAACAUUUUUAGAACCUUUCUUUUUUCCCAAAUGUAAUGUUAUUUCCUGUUCAAAUGGUGUGGAGGCAUAAAUAAAUACAUUUGCAUGUAAAUUGAAGGACGUUGUAUCUACUUUGAGUUAGUGACUUUUUGGUUCAAAACUAUGUUAAUUGCAUCCCUACAUGGUCAAUGAUUGAAAGGAGUCAAAAUUGACAUGAUUUAUUGGCAUAGAAUCCUGCUGUACAUAAAGCAAGAUUGAUUUGAUAUUGUUUCAGUGUUGAUUAGAUGUUAAAUAAGUGAUUUAAUUUAAGUUGAAAAAAUAUUGAUUUUAUGUCCAUCUUGAUCUAUUUUUCAUUGUUGAAAUAACUAUAUUUCAGGGUGCAAACCUGAUGAAAAAUCAAUGCUAAAUUUCAAUUCUGAUUCAGUGAUAGUUUGGUUGAUGCAUUAACAUUGAUUCAAUGUUGAUUCAGUGUUGGUCUUCUAUCUGGGAAAUGCGUUGUCAGUGCCUAAUGUUACGCUCAGUUUAUAAUGGAGUAGACACAGAGACAACUGCAGGUAAAUUAAACCAUGAAACUUGCCUCUAUAAUAUUAGAAAUUCUAAUGUUUGGUAUUGGUAGUCAGAUAAACUGUAUAUUUGGUAAGGAUAAUGAACUGUAAUCUUGGCUCUGUCUCUCUAUCUCUGCCUCCCUCCACCCCCAAUGGGUGGAGGCGAAGUUUACCUCAGGUACAAGUCCUGACGCCCGGUGCAGAUGUCUGAGGAAAGCUGCAUUUGAGCGGAGCAGAGUCCCACAGAAUUUGAGUGGAAAACAUCAAAUUAAGUAAGAACAAGCACAAAUAACAGGAUAAUUCAAGAAUUUUUUUUAAUAGAGAAAUACGAAAACUCUAAUGUUAUUGAAAGGAUGUCAUUAAAGUUUACUUUGGGCUGUUCACAGCGGACGCUUUCUUUUCUUGCAUCGUGAGUGUUGUGUUUUUAAAACUGUGCGUCACGUUGAAAGUGGUUCAACGUUUUAAAAGGCAUCUCAAGACCCACGUGUUCACUAUUGCGUUGUGCUCCAUCUUGCUGUUUUGGGCACAAAAUAAUGUGUCUUAUGUGAACGUCCACACAGUUAAAGGAGAUUUUGGGAAGUACUGGGUGUGAUGACUUCAUGACUUUAACAUUAACACUGAUUAAAUUUUUUUUUUUUUUCAAUGUGCACUUGAUCGUGGUGACUGACGACAACUUCUCCUUCAAUCUGUAUACAUUUUUAACAAAACUUUGUCUUAAGUUAUUGUAUUCAUACUUGUAUAAAUAUGUGACAAGUGUGUUUAGCCAGAUAUAGAAGACUAUCGGCAAUAUGAGGGUGCAAUGUGAUUACUUUAGGUGCUUCAGGUUGUAUUUAGAUUGUCAUUUGGGUAACAUUAUUAUUAUUUCAGUGUUUUCCUCAUCCUGGACCUAUAAUGACUGACACACUGCACUUCUGAUGUGAAUGGCUUGGUGAAGUACCAACAUAGCAAGGUAAAAAAGGCCAUAGAUCAAAUUAUCCAUGUUUAUUACCUUGGUACUUCACCUUAUUAUUUUUCUGGUUGACUGUUGUAUAUAUACUUUGUUAUUGAUUGUUACCACUAGUAAUAUGUAGAAGUAGUAGUAGAUAGUACUACACAAAAACUAUGUUAAUUAUAUUUAAAUAUUGAUGGAAUGUUUCUUUUUUUGUGUUAUUAUAUUGAGUAGAAUGGUCAUGUUACCUGUUUCUUAAAUAUGUUUAUAUUGUGAUUUUAUGCUGAAUAUAUUGACUAAGUUACCUGAAAUGUAUUUUCUAAAUGUCUAAUGUGUUAUUAGAUGAGUUCAUACAUUGUGUUUUAAUGGCUGUUUAUAAUUAAAGUAACAUUUCAUUUGUAUUACUGGAGUUGCAGUUUGUAAUGCUUCUGGAAUGUUUACAUUAUUUUAAUGUACUGUUAUCUUUAGUGUUACAUAUGGUUAACUAUAUGGUUAACUGUAAAGUUAAAUGUGUUUUCAGUGUGUUUAAUGAGUGAUUACAUGAAUUCAUAUGUUUUUAAUUGGUUUUUAAUUUGUUCAUUUUUGUAACUAUUUCUAUCUAUCUAUCUAUCUAUCUAGUCAAAUAGUAUUUGUGUAGUACUAACACAAUAUGGAAGAAUAUAUACAGUAUGUAUAUGAAGCAUUUGCAAUGUACCAAUAAAAUAUAUUUUUAAAU